ACUAUGCCAUGUAACAUGCUAGCCUCUGAGUACCGGAAAAAUGAGGAAGAAACCCAGUCUUCAAGAAGCUCUGUCUAGAGAUGCUGUUUCAAAAUUGAUUAGUUCUCCGACCCGCCCACUGAACUCACCCAACCUAUUGAAGAAACAGAAUGGGCUGUGGAUUAUAGGGUUUCAGAUAAUACCAAGUCCCUGGUGAAAGUGUUGAAGCGAGACUGAGCACAGUGGAACUGACCUCAAUGAGCUCUUGGCCCCUCGACAGCAGAGGGAGCAGAGGGAGAGAGUGAUGGAGGCAAUCACUACCCCUCUCUUCUCGGAAGAGGAAAAUAAACACAUUAUAAUCUCUAAGUUAGAGAUGUUUUUGAUAUUCCUGCUCUACACAACUGAUCCUACCAAGGAAGAAGCACUGAGGAAAUGUGACAUGAAUGUCAGCAAAAUGUACCAUACUAACAGUUGCAUCUCAAUUAAGAAAAAAAUAGAUCACCAACAUGAACCUGCGUGCUUCUGGAAGAACAGGGAUGCUCAGGAAGCUGGGAAGAGAAUCCUUCAGGUCAGGCCUGACACCGGGGAGGAGGGGGAGGUUUGCCAGGGCCACCUUGUCCCACCAGCAUCCAAGUGGAACCUUUGGGGCAUUUUGUUUCUUUCCUUUUCCUUCUUUCCUUUCUUUCAUUGUCCUUGUGCUCCUCCUCCUUGUUCUCUCUCUCUUCCUCCUUCCCUUCUUCCCCCCCUUCUUCUCUCUCUCCCUCCUUUCUUCCCUCCUCUCUUCUUUUUUAUCUUUCUUCCCGGAAUGGGAAGCUGCCUCACCUGCAGGAGUAGAAUGGCUGUGUCACCCAGGCCACGACAACAACGAGUAGUAUCUUUUCUCCCUGCCUAACUAAAGGCAGUAGCAUCUAAGCCCUUCAACUACUUUUCUUUUUACAAUCAAUUAUAAAGAAAUAGUAAUAGCUAACCUUUAUAUUUACUAUGUGCCAGGCACUAUUCUGAACCUUUAUCUAUAUUUCCCAUUUAAUUUCCUUAAGAUCCCAGUGAAGUAGGUACUAUAUAAUUAUUACCUCCAUUUUACAGAUGGGGAAACGGAAGCCCAAAGAACUGAAAGAACCUGCCCAAGAUCACACAACCGUAAGUGACAAAGCCAAGAUUUGAAGGUAGUUGUCCGGCUCCACUGUCCGUACUCUUAACCACUAUACCAAACUGCCUCUUCAUUCUUUGUUUUGCUUUGAUAUUUUUUGUUUUCAUGUUUUUCUGAUUACAUAAUUAAUCUAGUCUUACUGUAAAACUUAAAACAAGAAAAGUGUGAGGAAGAAAGUACAAGCCCACCUGCAGCCCCACAUCCAGGGAUGAUGAGCAUCAGCACGUUGGUGAUGAUCCUCCUUUCAUCUGUCACAGGCAUUGACUCAUGUUCGUAUGAUUUUACCUGAAUGGAAUAAUAUCCUGUCAUACAUGAUUUAUUUUUUAAAUAAGGACCUCUUUUGCUUUGUUUUACUAACCUCCUCCUUUCCAUUCCCAUGCCCCCAAACACAUUUAACAAACUAGUACAUAUCCUUUUUUUAAGUUUACAUAUAUAAAAUUUUAAAAUAAAUGCUUAUAUAUACACA
rnacentral:lncRNA from 1 species